rnacentral:rRNA from 1 species
GAUGAACGCUGGCGGCGUGCCUAAUACAUGCAAGUCGAGCGAACGGACGCGACGUUUGCUUCUCUGUUGUUAGCGGCGGACGUGUGUGUCACACGUGUAUCACCCACCUAUCUGUCUGAGAUCACUUCGGGACACCGGCGCUUAUCCCGUAUAAUCUUCUGCACCGCAUGGUUCAAUAGUGAAAUACGGUCUUGCUGUCUCUUCUCGAUGGAUCCGCGCUGCAUUAGCUAGUUGUUAAGGUCACGGCUUACCACGGCAACGAUGCAUAGCCGACCUGAGAGGGUGAUAGGCCACACGGGAAGUGAGACACGGACAAGACUACUACGGGAGGCCGCAGUAGGGAAUGUUACGCAAUGGGCGAAAGCAUGACGGAGCAACGGCGAGUGAGAGAUGAAGAUCUUCGGAUCGUAAAAAUCUGUUAUUAGGGAAGAACAGAUGUGGAAGUAAAUGAGCAGAGAGUGACGGUACCUAAUAAGAAAGCAACGGCUAACUACGUG